rnacentral:rRNA from 1 species
AUUGAACGCUGGCGGCAGGCCUAACACAUGCAAGUCGAGCGGAUGAGAGGAGCUUGCUUCUCGAUUCAGCGGCGGACGGGUGAGUAAUGCCUAGGAAUCUGCCUGGUAGUGGGGGACAACGUUUCGAAAGGAACGCUAAUACCGCAUACGUCCUACGGGAGAAAGCAGGGGACCUUCGGGCCUUGCGCUAUCAGAUGAGCCUAGGUCGGAUUAGCUAGUUGGUGAGGUAAUGGCUCACCAAGGCGACGAACCGUAACUGGUCUGAGAGGAUGAUCAGUCACACUGGAACUGAGACACGGUCCAGACUCCUACGGGAGGCAGCAGUGGGGAAUAUUGGACAAUGGGCGAAAGCCUGAUCCAGCCAUGCCGCGUGUGUGAAGAAGGUCUUCGGAUUGUAAAGCACUUUAAGUUGGGAGGAAGGGCUGUAGAUUAAUACUCUGCAAUUUUGACGUUACCGACAGAAUAAGCACCGGCUAACUCUGUGCCAGCCGCCGCAGUAAUAC